GAUGAAGAACGCAGCGAAAUGCGAUAAGUAAUGUGAAUUGCAGAAUUCAGUGAAUCAUCGAAUCUUGAACGCAUCUUGCGCUCCUUGGUAUUCCGAGGAGCAUGCCUGUUUGAGUGUCAUUCAACUUGUCAACCACUUUGGAAGUUGUUUUUCAAUGUGGCUUGGAUGUGGGGGAUUUGCAGGCUUUUCUUCUGUCUGCUCUCCUGAAAUGCAUUAGUGGUGUCUUAAAGGGUUCACAACCACAGGUGUGAUAAAUUAUCUAUGCCUUUGGUAUGAACAGAACUGUGCUGCUUCUAAAUGAAAUGAGCCCUUGCAGGCUCUUUCUUUUGAUGAAUUUGACCUCAAAUCAGGUAGGACUACCCGCUGAACUUAAGCAUAUCAAUAAGCGGAGGA
rnacentral:misc_RNA from 1 species